ensembl:lncRNA
AUGAUGACAGAAAUUUCAUUUUUGAUUUAUUGUCCCAAUGUAAUAGAUGACAAAAUAAAAGCAAAACAAUGCAAUGCACUGCAUUACAUCAGGUUAGCUGCAGUACUUUUUGACACAAUACUUCACAAUAUUAUUCUUACACAAAUAAUUCUUUUAGGCAUCUAUCAUUGCAGAAAAACACUAUUGUUGCAUCUAAAAGGCUUGAGAAAAGUACCCUUCCAUAAUCUAUAAAGAAAGAAAAAAAGUAUACCGCCUAAGAUAUAUGAGUUUUACCCUCUGUGAAGUAUAUCCUGACCUCUCUCCCCCUCUCUCUCUCUCAAUUCCCAAGUUAAGUAAAUUGUGGUAUUGGUCUCUAUUUGAGAGGUACUCAGACGGCUGAUGUCUGCAACUUGCCCAAUACAGCCCAUGGGUUUGAAAGAUGAUACACCUAAAUGGAGAAAGUCAAUCUGUCCCCUGCUUCACUUGUGGUGUUAAAGUCAUUCCGUGGUGUAGUGGUGACACUCACACCGUUUAGUUCCGGUAACUCUUCAUUUUUCAUAUGGGGUCAUUUUGUCAUUUGAACACAUCGACUUUGUCUUUCCUGAAAUUUUGCACUGUGGUUUGGCUUGAAAAAGUGGAAGCCAAUUCUAGCAGCGUUAACUUCCUCCAGCCCUACCCUCGCUCGCGAUCUCCGAUCGCUGUCUCGGCUCUUCUUUGCCUCGCCGCCAGUGCGCCACCAGCUCCCUGCCUCAACAGCGCCCCCGCCUCUCUGUCAGUUUGGCUUGACCUUGCUUUGGUGGAUUUUCCCUAUUGGAAUUCGUCCAGGAGGCACUUUUGGAUCCACUCCGGGCUGCCCUGUACCUGGAUUGUUUUUUGUUGUCUAUUUUUUCCCUUUUUGAAUUUCAAGACUAUUAACUAAACUGACUUUUGGGCACCUGCAAACUGAGUCCAAGUCUCGUACUGACAAUUGCUGCAUGGUCACCCUGUGGAAUUUACUGAGACACAAUGUAAUGAAAGUCAUGAUGUAAUGAAAUGUAAUGAAAGUCAUGAUGAUGACAUUGCUCAUAUUCCUUUUAAGCUAAAUUAUUAUGGCUUUCUGUACUGCUGCUUGGUAAAUGAUAGAGUCUAGCUCAACAAAAUUAAAAUUAUUAAUUUCAUGUGCAGACUGAGAAUGUUUGACAAGUUUGACAAUGACACAUUGUUCCUUUACCUACUACAGUGACAAGAUGUUUUUCCUAGAAUUACUUUAUGAAUCCUCUUGGACUUUACUUUUUUUCAUGAAUACUGUGGCUGCUUAUUUAAACAGUCUAUAACAGAUGUAUAAAUGCAUAACAAACUUUGCUAAACAUUAAUGCUAAGGUUUUCAUAGAUUUAAAAAU